GACGAACGCUGGCGGCGUGCUUAACACAUGCAAGUCGAACGGAAAGGCCCUGCUUUUGUGGGGUGCUCGAGUGGCGCACGGGUGAGUAACACGUGAGUAUCCUGCCCUUGACUUUGGGAUAACUUCAGGCAACUGGGGAUACUACCGGAUAGGAGCUCCUGCUGCAUGGUGGGGGUUGGAAAGUUUCGGCGGUUGGGGAUGGACUCGCGGCUUAUCAGCUGGUUGGUGGGGUAGUGGCUUACCAAGUCUUUGACGGGUAGCCGGCCUGAGAGGGUGACCGGCCACAUUGGGACUGAGAUACGGCCCAGACGCCUACGGGAGGCAGCAGUGGGGAAUAUGACACAAUGGGGGGGAGCCUGAGGCAGCAGCGCCGCGUGCGUGAUGACGGCCUUCGGGUGGUAAACCGCUGUCGCCUGUGACGAAGCGGGAGUGACGGUAAUGGGUAAAGAAGCACCGGCUAACUACGUG
rnacentral:rRNA from 1 species